GACGGAGGUCUCUAGCGUUGUUCGGAAUUACUGGGCUUAAAGCGCGUGUAGGCGGGGUGGCAAGUACCGUGUGAAAUCCCCGGGCUCAACCCGGGAAUGGCUCGGUAUACUGUCACUCUUGAGGCAGGUAGAGGUCACUGGAACCUUAGGUGGAGCGGUGAAAUGCGUAGAUAUCUAAGGGAACGCCUGUGGCGAAAGCGGGUGACUGGGCCUGCCCUGACGCUGAGACGCGAAAGCGUAGGGAGCAAACGGG
rnacentral:rRNA from 1 species